rnacentral:rRNA from 1 species
UACGUAGGGUGCGAGCGUUAAUCGGAAUUACUGGGCGUAAAGCGUGCGCAGGCGGUCUGUUAAGACCGAUGUGAAAUCCCCGGGCUUAACCUGGGAACUGCAUUGGUGACUGGCAGGCUUUGAGUGUGGCAGAGGGAGGUAGAAUUCCACGUGUAGCAGUGAAAUGCGUAGAGAUGUGGAGGAAUACCGAUGGCGAAGGCAGCCUCCUGGGCCAACACUGACGCUCAUGCACGAAAGCGU